UCCUGGUUGGCUCAGUCGGUAGAGCGCUCCACUAGAAAUAGAAAGGUCCCCGGUUCGAUACCAGGACCAGAUG
rfam:Ixodes scapularis strain Wikel colony gcontig_1108378971126, whole genome shotgun sequence.